rnacentral:rRNA from 1 species
CCUACGGGAGGCAGCAGUGAGGAAUAUUGGUCAAUGGGCGCGAGCCUGAACCAGCCAAGUAGCGUGAAGGAUGACUGCCCUACGGGUUGUAAACUUCUUUUAUAAAGGAAUAAAGUGAGGCACUUGUGCCUUUUUGUAUGUACUUUAUGAAUAAGGAUCGGCUAACUCAGUGCCAGCAGCCGCGGUAAUACGGAGGAUCCGAGCGUUAUCCGGAUUUAUUGGGUUUAAAGGGAGCGUAGAUGGGUUGUUAAGUCAGUUGUGAAAGUUUCGGGCUCAACCGUAAAAUUGCAAUUGAUACUGGCAGUCUUGAGUACAGUUGAGGUAGGCGGAAUUCGUGGUGUAGCGGUGAAAUGCGUAGAUAUCACGAAGAACUCCGAUUGCGAAGGCAGCUUACUAAACUGACACUGACAUUGAUGCGCGAAAGUGUGGGUAGCAAACAGGAUUAGAUACCCGUGUAGUC